GUGAGGAAUAUUGCGCAAUGGAGGCAACUCUGACGCAGCCAUGUCGCGUGCAGGAAGAAGGCGCUACGCGUUGUAAACUGCUUUUAACCGGGAAGAAACCCCAGGACGUGUCCUGGGUUGACGGUACCGGAGGAAUAAGCACCGGCUAACUUCGUGCCAGCAGCCGCGGUAAUACGAAGGGUGCAAGCGUUAUCCGGAUUCAUUGGGUUUAAAGGGUGCGUAGGCGGAGCGUUAAGUCAGUGGUGAAAUCCUGCAGCUUAACUGUAGGCUUGCCAUGGAUACUGGCGCUCUUGAGUGCGCUUGAAGUGGGCGGAAUGUGCCGUGUAGCGGUGAAAUGCUUAGAUAUGGCACAGAACACCAAUUGCGAAGGCAGCUCACUAAGGCGAUACUGACGCUGAGGCACGAAAGCGUGGGGAUCGAACAGGAUUAGAAACUCCUGUAGUCC
rnacentral:rRNA from 1 species